GGAUUAGAUACCCUGGUAGUCCACGCUGUAAACGAUGAUUACUCGCUGUUGGCGAUAUACUGUCAGUGGCUGAGCGAAAGCAUUAAGUAAUCCACCUGGGGAGUACGGUCGCAAGAUUGAAACUCAAAGGAAUUGACGGGGGCCCGCACAAGCGGUGGAGCAUGUGGUUUAAUUCGAUGAUACGCGAGGAACCUUACCAGGGCUUAAAUGUAGAUUGACAGGACUAGAAAUAGUUUUUUCUUCGGACAAUUUACAAGGUGCUGCAUGGUUGUCGUCAGCUCGUGCCG
rnacentral:rRNA from 1 species